GGUCCAGUAGCAUAGUGGUUAAUGCACCCGAAUGAAUUAGUUGGUUAUCCUCCCAGUUAUUCUGACUAUCCUUGUUCAACUCAAGGCUGGACCA